rnacentral:tRNA from 1 species
GGGCCCGUAGCUCAGCCUGGUAGAGCGGCGGGCUUUUAACCCGCAGGACCCGGGUUCAAAUCCCGGCGGGCCCGCCA